rnacentral:rRNA from 1 species
CUUACAAGCGGUCGGAGCCUCUCUUUGAGGGGUGACGGCGUGCCUUUUGUAUAAUGAGCCUACGAGUUACUCCUGUUGUGCGAGGUUAAGCCCCUGAGGGGUGGAGCCGCAGCGAAAGCGAGUCUGAAUAGGGCGUCAAGUUCGUUGUAUUAGACCCGAAACCUAGUGAUCUAGCCAUGAGCAGGUUGAAGGUGAGGUAACACUCACUGGAGGACCGAACCCACGUCUGUUGAAAAAGACGGGGAUGACCUGUGGCUAGGGGUGAAAGGCCAAUCAAACUGAGAGAUAGCUCGUACUCCCCGAAAUGCUUUUAGGAGCAGCGUAUGGGUGAGUUUAUUAGAGGUAGAGCUACCAAUUGGACUAGGGGGAGUCAAAUCCUACCAAAUCCAGAUGAACUCCGAAUGCUAAUAAAUAUACCAUACAGUGAGGGUUGGGGUGCUAAGGUCCCAAUCCGAGAGGGAAAGAACCCAGACCUACAGCUAAGGUCCCAAAAUCUAUACUAAGUUGAACUAAGGGGGUCCAGUUGCUUAGACAGCCAGGAUGUUGGCUUGGAAGCAGCCA